rnacentral:rRNA from 1 species
UACGAACCGAGCGAGCGUUGUUCGGAAUCACUGGGCUUAAAGGGCGCGUAGGCGGGCAUUCAAGUCUGUGGUGAAAUCCUCCAGCUCAACUGGAGAACUGCCUCGGAUACUGGGUGUCUCGAGGGUGGUAGGGGUAUGCGGAACUAUCGGUGGAGCGGUGAAAUGCGUUGAUAUCGAUAGGAACUCCGGUGGCGAAGGCGGCAUACUGGACCACUUCUGACGCUGAGGCGCGAAAGCCAGGGGAGCGAACGGG